UGCCAGCAGCCGCGGUAAUACGAAGGGGGCGAGCGUUGUUCGGAAUCACUGGGCGUAAAGCGUGUGUAGGCUGCGCGGAAAGUCAAAUGUGAAAUCCCCGAGCUCAACUUGGGAACUGCGUUUGAAACUGUAAGACUAGAGUGUGUCAGAGGGGGGUAGAAUUCCAAGUGUAGCAGUGAAAUGCGUAGAGAUUUGGAGGAAUACCAAUGGCGAAGGCAGCCCCCUGGGAUAACACUGACGCUCAUGCACGAAAGCGUGGGGAGCAAACAGGAUUAGAUA
rnacentral:rRNA from 1 species